UCAACUCGCGUUCAUAUUUUGCGCAAUGUCAUCGGUCAUCCUGGGGUGCGUUAUAUUCGAUUAAACGUCUGCAACGUUGAGUGACGGAUUGUUCUGAACGACACGUUACCCCAAAACGUUCUUCAACGUUCUUGAACAGACGUUGAGGUACGUUUGCUGGGUGUGGCCGGGUGUGGCUUGAAGCAAUGAGUGACAUAUUUAAAGGACAGCGGAGCGUUCCUCAGCCGGCGUUGUGUCCCGAAAGUGUGAAGAAGUUGUAAUUUGUUAGUUAGUUAGUUAGUUAGUUAGCAUAACUGUACUUGGUUCGGGGCGACAGGUGGUUAGAGCGUUGGACUAGUAACCAAAAGGUUUCAAGAUCGAAUCCCUGAGAUGACAAGCUGAUAGCUAAAGGAGGACAGCAUGGAGCAGCUAAAAUGGGACAGUCUUAGAGGCAUUUCCAGUGGAGGAAAGAGAGCCAGUUUACAAUAGGGGCCAUCCCUCUCCUCUUGGUCCAUCACCUCUAAUGAUCUGCUCAGGAAAUCAAUUCCAUCUUCAAAUGACAUCACACACAACCCCUGGAGACCUUUGAAACGGCUGACACGCUCUACUACUUAAACCACGACCUGGACAAAAAUGUUUGAUAUUUUAUUGAUUUAGGUCUUUUUGCAUUUAUUCAGAGCACAGUAAUCACACACAUGGUCAUGUCACUCACAUCAAUCUCAUUGUAAAAAAACAACACAACAAAUAUACGUCACAUUAGUAACUUGUUAGACUCUUGUGACAGCCUUAAUAUUAAUACAAUUAAACAGAAACAUGAACAUAGUCCAAAAGAUAAGCUGCUUAAUAUCAAUGAAUGUACCUUAAUGUAACAGCUCAAAUAAAAAUAGACCUUUAA